ACUGUUACGAAUCAAUUUCAAAGUAAAAGUCUUCUUAGCUUUAGUUUUUUUUUUAGAACUCCACAGCUUACCAUGAAAGGAUACACUAUUCCUUUUUCAUUGAUAUUACUUUGGGCUAUUUUCUUAUGGAAUGCUGCUGCAAUUAGAACCAAAGACAAGAUCUAUGUUAACAUCAAAGGACAGAAAGCCUGUUUUCGCCGCCUCAAUGCAACUCAUCAAAUUGGGUGCUCCUCUGAAAUGAAUGGCAAUGUAGGUGUUGUUCACUAUGUGAAAGAGAAAUCUGAUAGCCAGUGGAUACUCAAAGAUGGACCACAUGCUCCAUAUGUGAUGCUCAUUGAAGCUGCUAAUUUCAAUCUGCAGAACAUCACUGAGUUGAUUGACUCUGGAAGAGUUAAUGGGAUACUGGUCAUAGAUGCCAAUGGUGCAUCACAGCUACCACCUGAGGGAUUUUCUGCAGAUAAAUCUUGUCCAAAUGAUGGCUAUGGAUUAUACUGGAACAACACCAUGUACAAAAAUUGCAGAAGUGUCCAGUGGAAUCCUCCAGGAAAUGGUAUGAUGUUUCAGGACUUUAGCAUUCCUAUUUUUUUAUUGGACAGUCCCAAAGAAGUUGAGUACAUUAUUGAAAAAUGUUAUGAAAAAUAUAACGACCCUGAAAAUAACACAGGAUUGCAAUACCCACUGUGUGCAGCUGAGCUGAAAGACUACAUGAAUGCUGCCAAAGAUUCGAUGACAUGCAUGCGACGUUCCAGCCACAUAACAUCUUUAACCACCAGCAUAUCGCAAUACUGUGAUCCACUCAGUAACAACAAUGUUAUUGGUUUUGUUAAUCCAAAAUCAGUUGAUGACCAACUUGCAGAGAAGUCUGUUAUUAUUGCCGGAUCCAGGAUGGAUUACAUGAAUAUGUUUGAGAAUGUAAAUAAUAGUGCUGACAAUCCAAUCACCAGCAUUGUGGCUCUUUUGUCUGCCGCUGAAGCCAUUGGAAGAUUUAAAGAAGACUUUAUCAAUUCACAAGAGAACAAGACCAUCCUGUUUGCACUUUUCCAAGGGGAAGCUUUUGACUAUAUUGGAUCAAGCCGCAUGGUCUAUGAUAUGGAAGUAGGCAGUUUCCCAACGUCAUUUCGCAAAACUGGUGGCUUAAGUUAUUCUCGGGCUUUGCAAAAGAUUGGUUUGAAUCAUCUGUCUCACUUUUUGGAAGUGAACCAGCUAGGCUACAGAGAAAACGAGGCAGAAAAUGUCUGGCUACACACAGACCCAAUUAGUUACAAUUCAAAUAUUUCCACUGAGAUUGACGGUCUGGUGAAAAGGAUAAAAAAAAUUGGAGAACAGCUGAAUGUUACCAUAAUGGAACCAGAUACUUCUCGUCCUUUGCCUCCGUCUUCUGCUCAACGUUUCCUGCGGGAAACUGCACUACCAACUGUUAUGCUCACUAACCACGAAAAAGAGUACACAAACAUAUAUUACAACAGUAUGUUUGAUCUUGGAGAACUAAUUGGUGUGGAUUAUAUUCCGGGUGGUGAUAUAGAGAACCUUACACUUUCAAAACAAGUCCUCCUCUUGACUAACAUAUCUACAGUUUUGGCACAGACACUCUUUGAAUUAGGUACUGGUCAAAAUGGAUCUCAUAUAAAAGCAAACAGUUCUAUAGUUGCUGAAUUAUUGUAUUGUUACAUCUGGAACAGUAGCUGCUCUAUAUUCCACUCAGUCAUAACAAGUGAUCAUGUCAAAAGUUUUGAGAAGUUCCCAGAAAUGAAUUUAUACACUGGUGUCAAGGGCAACACCAGUCCACUUACAUUGAUCACAGAAAAGAUACUUGCCUAUUUCCUAGGAGACAAGCUCAAUAUUACAGACAGGAAAUUAUGUACAAAACAGUCCAAUGGGAUUGUGAAAGCUAAUUGGAUGCAGGGUAGAGAUCAUGAAGGCCUGUGUGUAACCGCUCCCACAUACCUCACUGAUGCCAUAUCUCCAGCUUUUAUCAUAGAUGACUAUGAUUGGUUGUCUGGUAAAUAUCCUACUUGGACUGAGAGUAUUUGGGACAAUGAUGCAAUGUCUGUACGUGUUUUUCUGGUUCCCAGCAAUAAACUACAGGCAGUAACACUGUUUUUGGGUGUGCUUAUCCUGUGCCUGUCAAUGGUGAUCGUCUAUUUCCUAAACAACCGGGCAGAAGUCAUCUUCCCUACCACAUCAGCUUUCCCUGCUCAUGAUGGCUAAAUAACCUGCAAUUUCCCAAAUAGGCUUGUUCUCUUCUACUCAUAUUUGCAUAGACUCUCAUUUUGUUACUGGGUAUCAUCAUCUUUGUGGUCUCUUUGGUUGUGGUCUAUGUGUUAGUAGAGAAAGCAGAUAUUAUUUUUCAGACUGCUCACAAACACUACUAACUAGCUUGAACCUGAAUCUAAACUAACUUUACCUAAUUUAACUUAAAAAAAAACUAGACUACACUUCUAGUAAGCCACUAUGGCAAAGCUUAUGUCAAUAUAUUUGUUAGCACAGAAUACUUCUUGCUUUCCUUUCAAUUUUGUUUUGGUAAGGCAAAUGAAGCACAAGAACAAAGAAGAAAUUUCUCACACGAGGGACCAAAGAACCAUGAACCAGUUUCAACAUCAAGAAUUGAUAAUGAUUUUUUUCCUCUUUCUACUAAACUAUCAUCUUUUCAUUCCCCUCCUCUCUGAAUACAUACACACGCACACGCACACACAUAUUUAUAUAUACAUAUGCUCCACACACACACACACAUUUAUAUAUACAUACGCACCCCCCACACACAUUCACACGCACACAUUUUGUGUAUGUGUUUCCAAUAACAGGUGUGGAUGUUAUACUUUCAACUUUUCCAUGUAAGUUGUCUACUUAAUAAUAAGGAGUGUAUAAAAUAUUUGUUCAUAUUUAUGUGCACUGAUGUUAGCAGUAUCACUACCAUUCUAUAUCCGCUUUUCCAAGCUUGCAUGGGUUGGGUGGGUCUUCUCCAGUACACCAUCUCACCAUUUAUUGCAAUUGUUUGACAUCUUGAGAUCAGCUUUCACUGCUUCUAUGUCUUCCUUGGUUUUUCCCCUUCCACUCAGAUUGCUUGCAUUUUUUAAAAUUAACUAGCACCCUCCAUAUGCAUCAAAUGCCCAUAACAGUGUUGUCUUCUUUCUUGUACACAACAUUUGAAUCCUCUUAUACUCUUGAUAGCUCAUUUCAUUUCUUUUCACAUCUUCCAUGUUCAGUGUCCAUGUUUUGCUACCAUGCAACCUCACACUUUGUCAGUAGCAUUAUACAGUCAACUCUUUUCCAGGUUAGUGAAUCCCUUUGUUGCAUGCAAAACCAGUAGCUUCCUGAACUGGUUUAACCUCAUCCUUAUUCUGGUUUCUAUGCUUUUGGAACAUCAUCCUCUACCAUUAAUUAUGUCACCUACUUAAUGGAAGCUAUCAACUUGUAGUUGAUAACUAUGGAGUCUUUCAAGAAUUUAAGGGAAUCCAUUUCAUGGGUGACCUUAAUGUUCACUACUCAAGCGUCUGCUAUAUAUGGAGUCUUUUCUUCUCUGUCUACCUGCCUGUGAUUCCACUGUAUUUGUUGUACUCUGGAAGUUUACAUUUGGUACACUGUGCAGAGUUACUACUUAACUUCUUUUCUGCAUAUUGAGCAAGGCCGCUUCCCAUUAGAAAGGUGGCUAUGCUUGAUGUGCUAACUAGAACUUUUGUCUCUGCAAGGUUUAUUUUGAAGCCUCUAGAUUCUUGCUUCCAUGUUUGGAAUAUUUUUCAUAAUUUUCAUUUGAUCAGCUAUGAGAACUAGAUCAUUCAGAAGUUCCCUUGGAUAGACAGUCUGAAAUUCUGUGAAUUGGCUGGACAACAAUUAUAAACAGUAGCGAGCUAAGAACCAAACCUCGAUGAAUGCUUAUCUGCAAGAUUUUUCACUUAACUCAUUACUAACUUUAAUUUUGUUGGCAGCAUCUCUCUACAUCACUCACUCCAUCCACUUGCCUUCACCUAGUUCUUUUAGCGAUGACCUGACUACAGAACAUGAUCUCCAAACUGCCUCUCAUCUAAGCAACUUGUCUUUCUUGUCACUUGUACUAUAAUCCUUUCUGUUACUUUUACAACCAGGUUCAUCAACUUGAUGACUCUGUACUUACUUCUUUCUGUCAAAUUUCCUUUGCCUUUGUAGUUCUUGUUGAUGAUAGUGCUACACCAGUCAUUAGGUAUGACUCAUCCUUGUACUGCCUGAUUGACUACAUAAGUGAUUAUUAGCACAUGUCCUCCUUCAUUGGAUAUUUUCAGUAUCUCACUAGCUACCUUUGAUGGUAUCGCUACUUUCACUGCCUUCAUGUCCUCGAUUGCACUUUUGACCAUGCUGCUGUCCACUUGAACAGCUGCUUCCUCUGUUGGAUUUACUUGGGGUAGAGCCUCUCUCAUUCUGUUCAGUCAGUGACUUCAUUGUGCCCCUUUCUUCUUGGUGUCAGUCACAAAAGUGUGUCAUUUUCUUUCCAUACACACUUUUCCCCAAUGACCUCUUGUUUCAUACUGAAACACUUCUUUGCAAUUCAGAACACCUUACUUUCAUCUUCUUUCUUUGCUAUCUUUAUCUGACAUCUAGCUUCUUUUUUUUUAGGUAUCUGAUAUGAUUCCUUGCUUCCCAUUUUCUCCAAAUCUUUCUAGGUCAAUCCUUUAGCUUUUAUGGCAGUAUCUAAAGUAUCACCAUGUUACCUUUCUGUCAAGCUGGAACUCCCACUCACAAGUUCUGUUUGUGACUUACAACUGGUUGUAUCACAGAAACUCCCAGUUGUCCUUAGUUACGUAUCUAUCAUGUGUGUGUGUGUGUAUAUAUAUAUAUACACACACACACACACACACAUACAUGUAUACAUCUGUAUGUAUCUAUACAUAUGUAAUAUAUUAUAUGUAUAUACGUCUGUGUGUGCAUGCACAUGUGUAUAUAUAUAUAUAUACAUACAUAUAUAUAUAUAUAUAUAUAUAUAUAUACAUAUACACACACACACCAGGUAUUGAAUUCACAUUAAUCAGAGGACCAGCUCUGCUUGUCUCUUUUUAUCAACUCAAUGAUAAUAAAAACAUAUCCUCCUCUUCAGCUUCUUUUGUUUUCAUCCUCUUCCAGUUUUUUUCUUCCACAACUGAGAUUUUCCUUGCGUGUUAUCUUCAUCUUCUCAUUUCAUUUCACUGUCCUUAACAGAUCUCUCCCCAUGAUCAGCACCACUGGAUCUGACUAAAUUCUUGUUCCUCACCACAUUCAAUUUUUGCAACUGCUUUGAUUCUUUUCAAACUUUUACUAGAUUUGGGUCCUGUAUUGCUUGUUACCUGAUGAAAGUGCAGGCUUCUACAAAACAUUAAAAGUGGGGGAGAGUGUUUUGGUGGAGAAGAUUAAUAACUUGUUGUUUAGCCCUGAUUUGAACACAACUGUUGAUCAAAUAAAGACAUUCCAACCACCA